rnacentral:lncRNA from 1 species
CUUGUCUUGUUAAAAGCAAUCGACCAAAAGGCACCAAGGCAAUGCAUCCAAUAAAGUUUGCCUAUUAGUUGAGAUGUGUUUGCAUAUUCGAUUAGAUUUCUUUGAAUUUUACAAUUCUUCUAGUUUCUUUAAAUUGUUACCGGGUCUUAAUAAUACUAACGUUUCAAAAAUUGCCAAUUUCCAUAGAUUACCUACCACACAUCAAGUGACUUCUUAUUAAGGGUACCUCACCACAUAUGAAUUCAACAAGGAUUACUCAGACUGCAUAGUUUUAUAACUAUAAAUAUUUUCCGAAUAGCAUGAUUGUUAUUCAUUUUUUCCCCUCAAGACAUAUCAGCCCUUGAUAAAACUCCUAGCUCCUACCUUCGUUAGCAUCAUUAAUGUCCAAAGUACUUCAAUAACUAAUCUACUUCCCUACAAUACGUUUGUGAUGUCUUGAACACGAUGAACUGAAGAUUCCACUUCCUCCAUAAAACAACCCCCAAUUUUUUCAACUUAAUAUAUGUCUCUACGAAUAAAACUUUCAAAAUCAGAAAUUUGACAGAGAGCUUACCAAAAAUCGCCAAGUAAAACUAAGACUGUCCCAAGAAAAUCACUAGUUAAUAAAUUGUUAAUUGCAUGUUACCUGUGGAGAUUCGAACCACGAUUUCACAAAGGAAACUCAAAAAAAUAUGAAAUUCGCAACAUAAACAAAGAGAGAGAGAAAAUGGAAAGAUUAAUGGAUUACCAUUGCGAAUUCAGUCAUGCUCAUUGUGAAUCUGAAGGAGAUCUUUGAUUCUAACGAGUUCUUUACGAGUCGAGAUGGUUUGGUUAACGAAACCAGACCACGAUAUACUCCGAUACAUGCAAAGUGCAAACCCUAGUUUCGAGAUUGUCUUAUAGUAGUCCUAAUGUAAUUCGAUUUCAGUAAUGGUCCCUGUAUUUUUAUCAAAGAUUCACUCUUGUCCUUAGAGUUUUGAUUUAAACAAUCAAAAUCUUGUAUUUUUAAUUUAGUUUUCAAAGCAGUCCAAUAGUA